rnacentral:rRNA from 1 species
UACGGAGGGUGCGAGCGUUGUCCGGAAUCAUUGGGCGUAAAGCGCGUGUAGGCGGCCCGGUAAGUCCGCUGUGAAAGUCCAGGGCUCAACCCUGGGAUGCCGGUGGAUACUGUCGGGCUCGAGUCCGGAAGAGGCGAGUGGAAUUCCUGGUGUAGCGGUGAAAUGCGCAGAUAUCAGGAGGAACACCAAUGGCGAAGGCAGCUCGCUGGGACGUGACUGACGCUGAGGAGCGAAAGCGUGGGGAGCAAACAGG